rnacentral:rRNA from 1 species
UGUGGUUACAAUAGCAGAGAGGAUACACCUGUCCAUUCCGAACACAGAGUUAAGCUCUCUAGCGCUGAUGUACUUUGGUGGGAAACUGCCUGGGAGGAGGUCAGGCGUCGACGUAG